ensembl:lncRNA
AACACACAAGCCUGCCUUCAAAGGAGACACAAGGGGAGAAAAUCUCACAAAUGGCAACAGGACCAAAUGUGAGGUUUGGAAGGUCAAAAGUUUUACUCAUACGUGAUAUAUGGUAGAUACAUGAAGUCAAAUGCCUGUAUCAAAGGAGUUAUGACGCUUCAGAGCACGGGCUCCAGAGCACAUGGGCUCAGCAGUUGCAGCUCAUGGGCUUAAUUGCUCCAUGGCACGUGGAAUCUUCCUGGGGCACGUGGAAUCUUCCUGGACCAGGGAUCAAACCCAUGUGCCCUGCGUUGGCAGGCAGAUUCUCAGCCACUGAACCACCAGUGAAGUCCUAUACAAAGUAAUUUUUCAGUCUCUUGGGGAGAAGGGUAUAUAACUCAGAGUGUCGAGCAAUUUCUUUCCUCUGGAAUGAGAACACUUAAUGGGUGCAUAUUAAAAUGUUCGUUAAAGGCAAACUACUUAAUCAUUCGGAAAACCUAUUGAAAAAAGUAAUGUGUGAGAAGUUUCACCUCUUUAUGUCCAAGUUGCAUAGAUGUGAAGUCCAACUUGUUUCCUCCUUCUAUAAGAAGCAUUUAAAGCCACUUGGCUGGGAGAGAAAUGUGCUUCUUUCCUGCAACUCAGGCCUCCUUGUGUGGCUUGCUUCCCACCAUGAAAUGAACAUAGUUGCCUUGAAGGAAAUUUUGCACUUGGUCAUAAUUUUCCUCUUUUUGAACUUUUCUUGCAUGCUGAAGAAGUAGAAUAAGUCCCCAGCUUAAAAGCAGGCCCUCUUUUCUUCACAAUAAAUAUGUUAGAGGUGACAGAUAUAGAAUUCAACAAAAAUGAAGGAAAGAAUUUAUCAAUGUAGAGUCUGGGGGCUUUUUUUUCCUCCCAAUUUGGCUCUUGUUUUCCACCAAGGUAUAAUUAGAUGGAUUUUUUUUUCUUUAACUUUUAUUUAGACUUGAGGAUUAGAAGUAUGAGGGACCUAAUUUAGUAUUUUCUUUCAUUUUUCUCACCUAUUUUCUUACCUCUAGCUGCUUCAGAAAGUUACAAAAACACUUAAGAAUUGAACACGAAGCUUAUCAUUCUAUCCUUAAGUUUAGAUUUAAGUUAAAGUCUAGCACUUCUGUUUCUUCCAUGCAGAACUAAAUAUUGCAGUGAAAAGUCUGUCUCUUGUAUCUUUCUGAUAUAAAUUUCCGAUUCUAA